rnacentral:tRNA from 1 species
GGCCUUAUAUUCAAUAAUGAUUUUAAAUUGCAAGUUUAAAGGUGAAAUAAUAAUCUAAGGCUU